AAAACACAACGACUCUCGACAACGGAUAUCUCGGCUCUUACAUCGAUGAAGAACGUAGCGAAAUGCGAUACUUGGUGUGAAUUGCAGAAUCCCGUGAACCAUCGAGUCUUUGAACGCAAGUUGCGCCCGAAGCCACUAGGUCGAGGGCACGUCUGCCUGGGUGUCACGCA
rnacentral:rRNA from 1 species